GUAGCUAAUACCGCAUAACGUCGCAAGACCAAAGAGGGGGACCUUCGGGCCUCUUGCCAUCGGAUGUGCCCAGAUGGGAUUAGCUUGUUGGUGGGGUAACGGCUCACCAAGGCGACGAUCCCUAGCUGGUCUGAGAGGAUGACCAGCCACACUGGAACUGAGACACGGUCCAGACUCCUACGGGAGGCAGCAGUGGGGAAUAUUGCACAAUGGGCGCAAGCCUGAUGCAGCCAUGCCGCGUGUAUGAAGAAGGCCUUCGGGUUGUAAAGUACUUUCAGCGGGGAGGAAGGGAGUAAAGUUAAUACCUUUGCUCAUUGACGUUACCCGCAGAAGAAGCACCGGCUAACUCCGUGCCAGCAGCCGCGGUAAUACGGAGGGUGCAAGCGUUAAUCGGAAUUACUGGGCGUAAAGCGCACGCAGGCGGUUUGUUAAGUCAGAUGUGAAAUCCCCGGGCUCAACCUGGGAACUGCAUCUGAUACUGGCAAGCUUGAGUCUCGUAGAGGGGGGUAGAAUUCCAGGUGUAGCGGUGAAAUGCGUAGAGAUCUGGAGGAAUACCGGUGGCGAAGGCGGCCCCCUGGACGAAGACUGACGCUCAGGUGCGAAAGCGUGGGGAGCAAACAGGAUUAGAUACCCUGGUAGUCCACGCCGUAAACGAUGUCGACUUGGAGGUUGUGCCCUUGAGGCGUGGCUUCCGGAGCUAACGCGUUAAGUCGACCGCCUGGGGAGUACGGCCGCAAGGUUAAAACUCAAAUGAAUUGACGGGGGCCCGCACAAGCGGUGGAGCAUGUGGUUUAAUUCGAUGCAACGCGAAGAACCUUACCUGGUCUUGACAUCCACGGAAGUUUUCAGAGAUGAGAAUGUGCCUUCGGGAACCGUGAGACAGGUGCUGCAUGGCUGUCGUCAGCUCGUGUUGUGAAAUGUUGGGUUAAGUCCCGCAACGAGCGCAACCCUUAUCCUUUGUUGCCAGCGGUCCGGCCGGGAACUCAAAGGAGACUGCCAGUGAUAAACUGGAGGAAGGUGGGGAUGACGUCAAGUCAUCAUGGCCCUUACGACCAGGGCUACACACGUGCUACAAUGGCGCAUACAAAGAGAAGCGACCUCGCGAGAGCAAGCGGACCUCAUAAAGUGCGUCGUAGUCCGGAUUGGAGUCUGCAACUCGACUCCAUGAAGUCGGAAUCGCUAGUAAUCGUGGAUCAGAAUGCCACGGUGAAUACGUUCCCGGGCCUUGUACACACCGCCCGUCACACCAUGGGAGUGGGUUGCAAAAGAAGUAGGUAGCUUAACCUUCGGGAGGGCGCUUACCACUUUGUGAUUCAUGACUGGGGUGAAGUCGUAACAAGGUAACCGUAGGGGAACCUGCGGUUGGAUCACCUCCUUACCUUAAAGAAGC
rnacentral:rRNA from 1 species